rnacentral:rRNA from 1 species
GAUGAACGCUGGCGGCGUGCCUAAUACAUGCAAGUCGAGCGAACAGACGAGGAGCUUGCUCCUCUGACGUUAGCGGCGGACGGGUGAGUAACACGUGGAUAACCUACCUAUAAGACUGGGAUAACUUCGGGAAACCGGAGCUAAUACCGGAUAAUAUAUUCAACCGCAUUGUUCAAUAGUGAAAGACGGUUUUGCUGUCACUUAUAGAUGGAUCCGCGCCGCAUUAGCUAGUUGGUAAGGUAACGGCUUACCAAGGCAACGAUGCGUAGCCGACCUGAGAGGGUGAUCAGCCACACUGGAACGGAGACACGGUCCAGACUCCUACGGGAGGCAGCAGUAGGGAAUCUUCCGCAAUGGGCGAAAGCCUGACGGAGCAACGCCGCGUGAGGGAUGAAGGUCUUCGGAUCGUAAAACUCUGUUAUUAGGGAAGAACAAAUGUGUAAGUAACUAUGCACGUCUUGACGGUACCUAAUCAGAAAGCCACGGCUAACUACGUG